UAUCGGAACGAGGUGCACCACACUGCUGGGGAGCGAACCCAGGUCUUGCAGGAUGUAGCUUCUGAUCCAACUCUUCCCAGAACCAAGACUGUCCGCUGCAAUCUCUGUGGGCAUGGAGAGGCUGUUUUCUUCCAGGCCGCAGCAAGAGGGGAGGAGGGGAUGACCCUGUGUCUUUGUGUGCUGUAGCCCUGAUUGUGGUCAUCGGUGGAGUGAAUGAUGCGAUGAAAUCUUUGCUCUAAUAGUUGUUUCAUCAGAGCAUGAAACUUAACUUGUUUUGUAGUUUUCUUGGAACUAUGUAUUUCGAAUCUGUCCUAAGAUUAAUGAGAGAAUGUCUUUCCAAUA